rnacentral:piRNA from 1 species
UAGGUAGAAACAUUUCUUUCG